ensembl:lncRNA
CUCAAGCAUAGUAGUGUUUGUACACAGAAAUGCAUUAAACCAGAAACAGUAAGGGAAACCUUUGACCCUAUUUUUAUGUAUUUAUAUAGGUUCAGAAAAUGUAUUCCUCUGUAUUCUUUUAUUUCUGCUCUAUUUUUCAAAAAGAAUACGCCAGUCAGUGUAAUACAGUCGGAGAUAGAAAGGCCUAUGUUCAGGACAGAUCAAAAGCCUGAUAUCUAAUAUAGCACACCAAUAACAACUGGGUACAAUCUAGCCAGCUAACUUCCUUUGUUCUUUCAAAAAGCAUUAUACAUAAUUGUAAAACAUUGUUUGGAAAUAUGUCACUAGUUAUGCUAGUCUACAGACUACAACAGACUGGCACUUCGUCAAUGUUUUUGGAAAAUGCUGCAAUACCAAUUGCACCAACGUUUUAAAAAAUUGAGUGUUAAUCCAUAUUUUUGUCGAAACAUUUCACUCUGGAACAAAAUGUUACAUUGACAACCCAAUGGACUAAUAAACUGACAUUUCAAUCCCUUGAGCCAUGUGGCAGGGGUGGAAACAAGUCUUCAAAGUCCUCUACUAAAGUCAUAUUUAGGAUUGUAACCUGGGGGAUGAUAAAACAAACAAACAAAAAAAAAACAGUUGCUGAACAACAGCCAAUAUUGCAUCAGGAUACUGUAAGUUGCAUACUCAAAAAGCCACAGUAUGAUGGCAUGGCUUGUUCUCUGUCAAUUCUUUGGCAUACAAACACAGACCCCUUUUGUGUCUAAAUGUGCUUUACAAACAUAUACUACAAAGUGAUUUACAGAAUAAAUCAUAGGAGUUGGAGAAUCAUCCAUCUAUCCAUUUUGUUCUGCUCAUCCAAACAUCCAAACAGGACAAAAGAAUGCCAUUCGUCAAGAGACUGCAUGUAGCUAGGAAGUAGAAGUCUGCUACAGAAAAUUUGUUAUAAGCACAUCCAGAAGAGGAUGGAUGGAUGGAUAAAUAGAUGGAUGGAUGUUUUUGAGCUGCAUGCUGAUAUCAAGGC